GAUACAAACAGGAAAACAAAGACCGUCCGAUCUCUCGCCACGUCACUGAUCCGCGUGAACCCAGGUUUGAGCGGCUGAGAUCACUAGCUUGCAGAGCUCUACUGGUAGAGCGAAACCAAGAAGCUCUCCUCUCUCUCUAUCUCACUCUCUCUAUAAUCCAACUCCCCAAUUCAGUUGGUUUUUUUCCAGAAAACAAACACCAAAAUUCUCUGCAAAAUUUGCGUUGAAUUUGUGAGCGAUGAAGGUCAUGGAGGAAGUUGUGGAGGAAAACGAAGUGAAGCCUUUGACUGCCGAGGAAUUGCUGCAGUACGAGUUCGUCUCCGAGUCCUCCGACUCUGACUCCGACGCCGGCCUCGAAGACGAGGAAGAGGGCGGCGACGAAGAUGAGGACGACGGCGACGACGACGAUGAUGACGCUGAAGACGACGACGACGAGGAUGAGGAUGAGGAUGAAGAGGACGACGACGACGUUCAGGAAGUCGUUCAGUCCUCCGGUGGCCCUCCAGUUCAGUUAAUUGACGACGACGAGGAUGAGGAGGACGAAGAAGACGAGGAAGACGCUGAAGGAGGCGACGACGACGACGACGACGAUGGCGAGGGAGAUGAUGAUGACGACGGCGAAGGCGAGGAUGAGGAUGACGUUGGGACUGAAUACCUUGUUAGGCCAGUAGCCCGCGCCGAGGAGGAGGAAGAUGCAAGUGAUUUUGAGCCUGAGGAGAAUGGAGAAGAUGAAGAUGUGGAGGAAGAAGAGGAUGACGACGAAGAUGAUACUGGUGGGAAGGUUGAGGCUCCGCCAAAGAGAAAGAGAUCAGACAAGGACGAUUCAGAUGACGACGACGAUGAUGAUGAUGGUGGAGAGGAUGAUGUGAGACCCUCCAAGCGAUAGGGCUGGGUCCCUAUAUCUUGUUCUUUGGUUUGAGAACUGACUGACCAUUAACAACUAGAUGACGAUCUAGCGGGAAAGGGUCGCUUGGUGACGGCGUCGUUUCCUUCUCCCGCCCCCAGGUGAGUGAUAAAAUUGAAUUUACUGUUACUUGUUACUUUUUACUUUACUGAUCUUUACUGUGGUUGCUCUGAGCAGAUAGAUGCGUGAGCAGUCUGAGCACCGACUGGGAGUUCUAGAUUACCAUUAUACCCUUUCGUCCAAGUGCAAGCGAUUUGGGUCAUUUGGCGGAAGCUAUGAGAAUAGUGCAUCUGCCGGCGUUGCUCAUUCGAAACCAAAAUAAUAAGAUAGUUUCUGUGCGCCAGUAUGCACGUGGCUUCUCCACACAAGCACUAUGAAUUUCGAUACCAUUCUUCCUUAGAAAACAAGGAAAACUAAUUAAGGAAGAAAGUUGUGCAACAAUACAUCCUUGGUAAUUGACUUUAGGUCAAGGGAUGAAAGAGUGGUUUAAAAUGGUUAAACUUGUGA